GACGAACGCUGGCGGCGUGCUUAACACAUGCAAGUCGUACGGUAAGGCCCUUUCGGGGGUCCACGAGUGGCGAACGGGUGAGUAACACGUGAGUAACCUGCCCACAACUUUGGGAUAACGCUAGGAAACUGGUGCUAAUACUGGAUAUGUGCCCCUGCUGCAUGGUGGGGGUUGGAAAGCUCCGGCGGUUGUGGAUGGACUCGCGGCCUAUCAGCUUGUUGGUGGGGUAGUGGCCUACCAAGGCGGCGACGGGUAGCCGGCCCGAGAGGGUGACCGGCCACAUUGGGACUGAGAUACGGCCCAGACUCCUACGGGAGGCAGCAGUGGGGAAUAUUGCACAAUGGGCGCAAGCCUGAUGCAGCAACGCCGCGUGCGGGAUGACGGCCUUCGGGUUGUAAACCGCUUUCAGCAGGGACGAAGCUUUUUGUGACGGUACCUGCAGAAGAAGCACCGGCUAACUACGUG
rnacentral:rRNA from 1 species